CGUCAAUUAGUAAAACCCAAACAUGGCGGACAGCGCUUUCGGUUUGGCGAGAUUAGAUGGAAAAGUUGCUCUAAUUACUGGAGCUAGCUCCGGAAUUGGUGCAGGUACAGCCCACAUGUUUGCCAAACUUGGUGCUAGACUGGCUCUCACAGGUAGAAAUGAAAUAACCUCAACAAACAUGGUGAUGAAUGUGAAAAACUUGGAGGAAACAAGGUACUAUGUCUUCCUGGAGAUCUAACAAUAGAGGAAGAUGUGAAGAGAAUUGUUAACGAAGCUGUAAAGCAACUAUGGACAACUUGAUAUUCUGGUAACAUUGUUAUCUAAAUUUAAUCUUGUUCUGUGUA